UUUCCGUAGGUGAACCUGCGGAAGGAUCAUUAUUGUAUAACCGAGGUGCGAGGGCUGUCGCUGACCCGAAAGGUCGUGCACGGCCGAGUGCACUCACACACAUCCAUCUCACCCCGAUGUGCACCACCGCGUGGGUCCCCCUUUGGCUUGUUCGGAGGGGGGCUUACGUUGUCACACAAACUUUGUAUGCAGUGUAGAAUGUAUUUUUUGUUUUUGCGAUCACGCAAUCAAUACAACUUUCAACAACGGAUCUCUUGGUUCUC
rnacentral:misc_RNA from 1 species